AUUAAGAGUUUGAUCCUGGCUCAGAAUCAACGCUGGCGGCGUGCCUAACACAUGCAAGUCGAACGCGAAAGGGGCUUCGGCCCUGAGUAGAGUGGCAAACGGGUGAGUAACGCGUGGGUGACCUGCCCUCGAGUGGGGGAUAACGUUCCGAAAGGAGCGCUAAUACCGCAUGACAUCCUGCCUUUGGACAGGCGGUGAUCAAAGCUGGGGCCGCAAGGCCUGGCGCUUGAGGAGGGGCCCGCGUCCGAUUAGCUAGUUGGUAGGGUAAUGGCCUACCAAGGCGACGAUCGGUAGCCGGCCUGAGAGGGCGGACGGCACACUGGGACUGAGACACGGCCCAGACUCCUACGGGAGGCAGCAGUGGGGAAUUGUUCGCAAUGGGCGCAAGCCUGACGACGCAACGCCGCGUGGAGGAUGAAGGUCUUCGGAUUAACUCCUGUUGACCGGGAAGAAUGCCUUUGGGGCUAAUACC
rnacentral:rRNA from 1 species